GACGAACGCUGGCGGCGUGCUUAACACAUGCGAGUCGAACGGAAAGGCCCUGCUUGCAGGGUGCUCGAGUGGGGAACGGGUGAGUAACACGUGGGUGAUCUGCCCCUUACUUUGGGAUAAGCCUGGGAAACUGGGGCUAAUACUGGAUAGGACCAUGCUGUAGGUGGUGUGGUGGAAAGAUUAGUUUCGGUAAGGGAUGAGCUCGCGGCCUAUCAGCUUGUUGGUGGGGUAAUGGCCUACCAAGGCGUCGACGGGCAGCCGGCCUGAGAGGGUGGACGGCCACAUUCGGACUGAGAUACGGCCCAGACUCCUACGGGAGGCAGCAGUGGGGACUAUUGCACAAUGGGCGCAAGCCUGAUGCCGCGACGCCGCGUGGGGGAUGACGGCCUUCGGGUUGUAAACUCCUUUCCGCCCUGACGAAGCCCUUGUGGUGACGGUAGUGGUAGAAGAAGCACCGGCUACCUACGUG
rnacentral:rRNA from 1 species